rnacentral:rRNA from 1 species
UACGUAGGGGGCUAGCGUUGUCCGGAAUCAUUGGGCGUAAAGCGCGCGUAGGCGGCCAGAUAAGUCCGGUGUGAAAGUCACAGGCUCAACCUGUGAAUGCCGCUGGAAACUGUCUGGCUAGAGUCCGGAAGGGGCGAGUGGAAUUCCUGGUGUAGCGGUGAAAUGCGUAGAUAUCGUUUGGAACGCCAAUGGUGAAAACAGCAGGCUGGGGAUGUGCUGACGCUGAGACGCGAAAGCCAGGGGAGCAAACGGG